UUGCCCUAGUAACGGCGAGUGAAGCGGCAACAGCUCAAAUUUGAAAUCUGGCUCUUUCAGAGUCCGAGUUGUAAUUUGCAGAGGGCGCUUUGGCGUUGGCAGCGGUCCAAGUUCUUUGGAACAGGACGUCACAGAGGGUGAGAAUCCCGUACGUGGUCGCUAGCCUUCGCCGUGUAAAGCCCCUUCGACGAGUCGAGUUGUUUGGGAAUGCAGCUCUAAAUGGGAGGUAAAUUUCUUCUAAAGCUAAAUACUGGCCAGAGACCGAUAGCGCACAAGUAGAGUGAUCGAAAGAUGAAAAGCACUUUGGAAAGAGAGUCAAAUAGCACGUGAAAUUGUUGAAAGGGAAGCGCUUGCAGCCAGACUUGCCUGUAGUUGCUUAUCCGGACUUUUGUCCGGUGCACUCUUCUGCGGGCAGGCCAGCAUCGGUUUGGGCGGUUGGAUAAAGGUCUCUGUCAUGUACCUCCUUUCGGGGAGGCCUUAUAGGGGAGACGACAUGCAACCAGCCUGGACUGAGGUCCGCGCAUCUGCUAGGAUGCUGGCGUAAUGGCUGUAAGCGGCCCGUCUUGAAACACGGACCAAGGAGUCUAACAUCUAUGCGAGUGUUUGGGUGUCAAGCCCAGACGCGUAAUGAAAGUGAACGGAGGUGGGAACCCUUUGGGUGCACCAUCGACCGAUCCUGAUGUCUUCG
rnacentral:rRNA from 1 species